UACGGGGGGGGCAAGCGUUGUUCGGAAUUACUGGGCGUAAAGGGCUCGUAGGCGGCCAACUAAGUCAGACGUGAAAUCCCUCGGCUUAACCGGGGAACUGCGUCUGAUACUGGAUGGCUUGAGAUUGGGAGAGGGAUGCGGAAUUCCAGGUGUAGCGGUGAAAUGCGCAGAUAUCAGGAAGAACACCCGUGGCUAAGGCGGCUCUCUAGUACGGUACUGACGCUGAGACGCGAAAGCGUGGGGAGCGAACAGG
rnacentral:rRNA from 1 species